UGGGCGGAAGCCUGAUCCAGCCAUGCCGCGUGUGUGAAGAAGGCCUUUUGGUUGUAAAGCACUUUAAGCGAGGAGGAGGCUACUUAGAUUAAUACUCUAGGAUAGUGGACGUUACUCGCAGAAUAAGCACCGGCUAAUC
rnacentral:rRNA from 1 species